CGGUGCUGAUGGAUAGUUUCAUUCCCAUUACUUGUUGAAAACUAAACCAAAACUGAAAAGUGAACCUGAAGUCUCUGUCGGAUAUCACUGUCACCAGAAUUCCAUGUAACCUGACUAUCUCUCAUAUAUAAAUUCUUCCUAACUUGUCUAACGGGUCGGUCAUUUUAACAACCAAGAAGUGAGAGAACUUGGUGAUCCGGUCGAUAAUUACUCAAAUAGCAUCAUGUCCUGAACGUGUCU
rnacentral:lncRNA from 1 species